AACGAACGCUGGCGGCAGGCUUAACACAUGCAAGUCGAACGCCCCGCAAGGGGAGUGGCAGACGGGUGAGUAACGCGUGGGAAUCUACCCAGUUCUUCGGAAUAACUGAGGGAAACUUCAGCUAAUACCGGAUACGCCCUACGGGGGAAAGAUUUAUCGGAAUUGGAUGAGCCCGCGUAAGAUUAGCUAGUUGGUGAGGUAAUGGCUCACCAAGGCGACGAUCUUUAGCUGGUCUGAGAGGAUGAUCAGCCACACUGGGACUGAGACACGGCCCAGACUCCUACGGGAGGCAGCAGUGGGGAAUAUUGGACAAUGGGCGCAAGCCUGAUCCAGCCAUGCCGCGUGAGUGAUGAAGGCCUUAGGGUUGUAAAGCUCUUUCAGUAGGGAAGAUAAUGACGGUACCUACAGAAGAAGCCCCGGCUAACUUCGUGCCAGCA
rnacentral:rRNA from 1 species